rnacentral:rRNA from 1 species
GCUAGUUGCGUGCCAGCGGAUGGUGAGAUAGUUAGGGUUGAGGGGUGGGCCGUAAUUACGUGGCUGAAAGAGCGCGUAGGUGGUUGGUCGCGUUGUUCGUGAAAACUCACAACUCAAUUUUGGGCGUGCGGGCGAGACGGGCAGACUGGAGUACUGCAGGGUGGACUGGAAUUCCUGGUGUAGCGGGGGAAUGCGCAGAUAUCAGGAGGAACACCGGUGGCGAAGGCGGGUCUCUGGGCAGUAACUGACGCUGAGGAGCGAAAGCGUGGGGAGCGAACAGGAUUAGAUACCCGGGUAGUC